rnacentral:misc_RNA from 1 species
GGGUUGAUGGCUCAAAUGUAAGAAUCAACCGAAGCCCAUGCUCUGGGUUCUCCUUGCACUCAAGGGCAAGAGGCUCUUUAAGAAAACGUCUGUUACGGCCACCUAACUUGCCAAGGAGUUGCAAUGCUUUUCCACCCCAAGGGUAGGGUGCAGGUCUCAAGUGAGACCAUAAAGCUAAAAUCACCUCUGACNAUACUAGGUUCUAGGAAAUCAGGAUUCAAACUAUCCACCCAAAACUCAAGUGUUCUUAGAC